rnacentral:rRNA from 1 species
GUGAGGAAUAUUGGACAAUGGGCGCAAGCCUGAUCCAGCCAUGCCGCGUGCAGGAAGACGCAUCUAUGGUGUGUAAACUGCUUUUGUACGGGAAGAAACACUCCCUCGUGAGGGAGCUUGACGGUACCGUAAGAAUAAGGAUCGGCUAACUCCGUGCCAGCAGCCGCGGUAAUACGGAGGAUCCAAGCGUUAUCCGGAAUCAUUGGGUUUAAAUGGUCCGUAGGCGGUUUAAUAAGUCAGUGGUGAAAGCCCAUCGCUCAACGAUGGAACGGCCAUUGAUACUGUUAGACUUGAAUUACAAGGAAGUAACUAGAAUAUGUAGUGUAGCGGUGAAAUGCUUAGAGAUUACAUGGAAUACCAAUUGCGAAGGCAGGUUACUACUUGUGGAUUGACGCUGAUGGACGAAAGCGUGGGGAGCGAACAGGAUUAGAUACCCUUGUAGUCC